GUUGGGGGUCGGUUCUGAGGUUGCAUAGAUGGUUGUUGCGGCAUCUGUACCUGCUGAGGCAUCUGCUGUGGCAUUUGCUGAGUCAUCUGCUGAGGCCAUUGCUGCUGGUACUGAGGAAAAGAGGGGACUUGGGGUGCUUGAUUCACCUGAGAUUGUGCUGGCUGUGGUGCCACCCUAGGGAUGUCCUGCAGUUGCUGUGUCCGGUAUUGAGGAUCAGAUGGCAGAUAUUGACUCUGAGGGUGUUGG
rnacentral:lncRNA from 1 species